UUGGAUCCAGACUUUGAUCAUGGCUCAGGAUGAACGCUAGCUACAGGCUUAACACAUGCAAGUCGAGGGGAAACGACAUCGAAAGCUUGCUUUUGAUGGGCGUCGACCGGCGCACGGGUGAGUAACGCGUAUCCAACCUGCCCACCACUUGGGGAUAACCUUGCGAAAGUAAGACUAAUACCCAAUGACGUCUCUAGAAGACAUCUGAAAGAGAUUAAAGAUUUGUCGGUGAUGGAUGGGGAUGCGUCUGAUUAGCUUGUUGGCGGGGUAACGGCCCACCAAGGCAACGAUCAGUAGGGGUUCUGAGAGGAAGGUCCCCCACAUUGGAACUGAGACACGGUCCAAACUCCUACGGGAGGCAGCAGUGAGGAAUAUUGGUCAAUGGACGAGAGUCUGAACCAGCCAAGUAGCGUGCAGGAUGACGGCCCUAUGGGUUGUAAACUGCUUUUAUAAGGGAAUAAAGUGAGUCUCGUGAGACUUUUUGCAUGUACCUUAUGAAUAAGGACCGGCUAAUUCCGUGCCAGCAGCCGCGGUAAUACAGAAGGUCCGGGCGUUAUCCGGAUUUAUUGGGUUUAAAGGGAGCGUAGGCCGGAGAUUAAGCGUGUUGUGAAAUGUAGACGCUCAACGUCUGCACUGCAGCGCGAACUGGUUUCCUUGAGUACGCACAAAGUGGGCGGAAUUCGUGGUGUAGCGGUGAAAUGCUUAGAUAUCACGAAGAACUCCGAUUGCGAAGGCAGCUCACUGGAGCGCAACUGACGCUGAAGCUCGAAAGUGCGGGUAUCGAACAGGAUUAGAUACCCUGGUAGUCCGCACGGUAAACGAUGGAUGCCCGCUGUUGGUCUGAAUAGGUCAGCGGCCAAGCGAAAGCAUUAAGCAUCCCACCUGGGGAGUACGCCGGCAACGGUGCAACUCAAAGGAAUUGACGGA
rnacentral:rRNA from 1 species